UCCCCCAUCUCUUCCUUCCACAUCCUGAAACCUAUUGAUGCGAUACAGCAGAUCUUGUAAGCAAUUUUUUUAGUUUACUGUGGACUGUUCUUGAUGCCUCUAGAUGCAGUUCUAGCAAUUGAGAUGUCUAGCAGACAAGAAAUAACUUGAGGCCAUAUAAAUUGUUAGAAGUACUAGUUAUAUCUCACAUGUAUUGCAGACAAGAAAUUGGUUUGGUGUUACUAUUGCUUUUGCUCUGCAAACCAAACUAGCUGAUGAUGAUAAUGUAGUUUUAUCUGCAUACAUAGCACUGAAGAAUUUCUGAAAAGAAUCUCAUAGUAAAAAAACAAAAAACUAAUUCUGCACUAGAAUUUACUGAUUCUCAAAGACCAUGUCUCUACUCGUUUCAGAUGAAAACUAAACUCAUUGAUUUAUGAAAGAAAAUCACUUUAUUGAUACACCAGUUGCUCUAUUAACUGUAUGCAAACUCAUGGUGUAUGAAGAGCUCAUAAACAAUUGUUUUUCUUCAAGGUAAGCUGCAGCAUGGAUACAUUCUUUUGCCACCACAUAUAAGAGAACAAGUUAAUAGUUUGAGAAGAUAGAUCAUCGAGUUCUUAUUAUAAAAGAGAACGCAAAGGUUAUUGGAGGUGACUUCUCGCAAUGGAGGUCCACAACUUAUGGAUAAGAUGUGCAACAUGACUUUCAUCAAUUUUGGCCAGUCCUAAUUGACAUGUUCUGAUGAGUGGAUGAGGUUGAGAUUCGUUUUUCAGAUACGUGCUGUCCAACCUGCCGUCAGGCAUCGUUGUCCAUGUCAAGGAGGCAAGGUUCUACCUGCACAAGUUCCCUCUGCAUUCCAAGAGCAACAUGCCGCAGCAGCUGAUAAUUGAGGCGAGCCAGAAUGGCGCCGACGAGAUCUACCAGACGAGGCUGAAGCUGUCCGUGAGGUGUGUCGACUCCAUCGCCGCCAAGACGAUGGCGAGCCCGGGGACUGUGGUGUGGUCGUACACCGACAAUUGCAAGUCGGACGAGAUCGUUGAGGCUCACCGUUGCUCGUCAUCGUCACAGGCGGUCCUGAGGAACUGGUAGAUGGAGGACCUGCGCGAGCUGGACGUGGAGCUUACAGAGCGUGUCAUGGUGGCUGUGAAGUCCAGGGCGAGGGUGCGCCCCUCGGUGUCCUCAGGGAAGCUCUCAGGCGUCACAAGCAGUCCUGGGGGACUGGUAGAUGGAGGACCUGCGCGAGCUGGACGUGGAGCUUACAGGCGUGUCAUGGUGGCUGUGAAGUCCAGGGCGAGGGUGCGCCCCUCGUGUCCUCAGGGAAACUCUCAGGCUUACCCUGCCAGGUGGCUCCUAGUGAGUUACUUAAGUGUCUGAGAAAUAUAGAAAAUUCGAAAUUGUUUGUUGCCUUAUUUCUGUUUAGUUGCUUUUCUACCAAAUUUCCCCAAUGUUCCGAUUCUGGGAGCCUUGGACUUGCUCCCCUCCCAGGAGAGGAUCCCUAUGCACUGAAAAUUGCCCUGUGGGCUUAAAACCUUAAAUACGUCCCCAAUGCAACCAAAUUAGCUCUAAAAGGUAACAUACAUCAAGUGCACAUGGGUGCCAGAGCAUACUCUGAGGGAAGUGGGACGGAAAGGAAAAAUGGAAUUAUC